ensembl:lncRNA
CAGAGACACACACAGACACACAGAGACACACACAGACACACACGUCUGUUCCCCAUUGGACCAGCUGCUCAUGGUGUGUUUAUCUCUGUCUCUUCCCCAUUGGACCAGCUGCUCACACUUCCUUGCCUGCAUCCUGUCCUUGUUGACAGGUUGAUGUGUGUUUUCUUUGAAGCUUUUUGUCUCCUUCCCUGAACAUAAUUUUGCCGUUGUCACAGUUGUUAUGUGCUUGUUUUUUUGUUGUUUUUUUUGUUGUAAUUGUUGUUUAUGGCACUUUGUGAAAACGUUAGUAAAAGCUAAUAAAGCCCAAUAUGUCUGGUCACUUGUAGUUGCCACAGGGUGUGUGUCCACUGCUGUUCAGAGGUGGUCACUUGUAGUUCACACAGGGUGUGUGUCCACUCCUCUCCAGAGGUGGUCACUUGUAGUUGCCACAGGGUGUGUGUGUCCACUGCUCUCCUGAGGUGCCUUUGGUUGUGCUUGCACACACACAUAGAGAUUUGGGAGGUAGAGGCCGAAGGAAAAUCUGUUCAUUUAACUUUAGAAUUUAUUUUGAUCAGAAAAUGAAUUGUCAAUUCCUCUGGGACAGUGCUUAUCCAAUGCCUUUGAAAAUUUGAUUUUUGUUUUAAUGUGGUAAUGCGAAAUAAAUAAAGGUAGUCUGACUUAAAUGCAUUUAUUUAUUUAUUUAUUUUAAAUCUUUUUUUUAUAGAAUGCAUAGUUUAGUGGCAUUAUGUAGGAAUUGCUAAUCGCUAACGAGAUGCUAGCGGCUAAACCUAGCGAAACCUCUUGAAAUUUGCUUACUAUGACAAACGAGUCAACAACUUUCCUAACAGUCAAGCAUAUGCAACACAAGACAAAGCAAGACGGCAAAUAAGCUACUUACUAGUUCGGCAGACAGUAGUAGUAACUGGGUGGCUUCAGGCAAACCUACAUAACCCAGUAAUAUGCCUACGGACUCUGGUAUGGCACGGAGGCAAUUCUCCAUAUUAAACGUCAUUGUAGCGCCCCAAUUUGUUUAGGCUGUGAUUUUAAGGUAAAACUGCU